GCAUAUCAAUAAGCGGAGGAAAAGAAACUAACAAGGAUUCCCCUAGUAACUGCGAGUGAAGCGGGAAAAAGCUCAAAUUUAAAAUCUGGCGGUCUCUGGCCGUCCGAGUUGUAGUCUGGAGAAGUGUUUUCCGCGCUGGACCGUGUACAAGUCUCCUGGAACGGAGCGUCAUAGAGGGUGAGAAUCCCGUCUUUGACACGGACUACCAGUGCUCUGUGAUGCGCUCUCAAAGAGUCGAGUUGUUUGGGAAUGCAGCUCAAAAUGGGUGGUGAAUUCCAUCUAAAGCUAAAUAUUGGCGAGAGACCGAUAGCGAACAAGUACCGUGAGGGAAAGAUGAAAAGCACUUUGGAAAGAGAGUUAAACAGUACGUGAAAUUGUUGAAAGGGAAACACUUGAAGUCAGUCGCGUUCCUCGAGACUCAGCCUUGCCUUCCGGCCUGGUGUACUUCUCGUUGAACGGGCCAGCAUCAAUUUUGAUCGUCGGAUAAAGGCGGGAGGAAGGUGGCACCCUUCGGGGUGUGUUAUAGCCUCUCGUCACAUACGACGGUUGGGAUUGAGGACCGCAGCACGCCUUUAUGGUCGGGGUUCGCCCACGUUCGUGCUUAGGAUGCUGGCGUAAUGGCUUUAAAUGACCCGUCUUGAAACACGGACCAAGGAGUCUAACAUGCCCGCGAGUGUUCGGGUGGAAAACCCGUGCGCGUAAUGAAAGUGAAAGUUGGGACCUCUGUCGUGGAGGGCACCGACGCCCGGACCAGACCUUCUGUGACGGAUCUGCGGUAGAGCGUGUAUGUUGGGACCCGAAAGAUGGUGAACUAUGCCUGAAUAGGGUGAAGCCAGAGGAAACUCUGGUGGAGGCUCGUAGCGAUUCUGACGUGCAAAUCGAUCGUCAAAUUUGGGUAUAGGGGCGAAAGACUAAAUCGAACCAUCUAGUAGCUGGGUUCCUGCGA
rnacentral:rRNA from 1 species